AGUUACUGAGAUUCAGAGUUUCUUGGGAUUAGCAGGAUAUUAUCGGAGAUUUAUUGAAGGAUUUUCCAAGAUUGCUAAGCCUGUGACCUCGCUUUUGGAGAAAGGAAGAGAAUUUAAGUGGGACGAGAAGUGCCAAGAAAGCUUUGAUCAGUUGAAGGAGAGAUUGAUGUCUCCAUCAGUAUUGAUUAUGCCAGAUCUGCGGAAGGGAUUUGACAUUUAUUGUGAUGCAUGUGGCCAAGGCUUAGGAUGUGUGCUUAUGCAAGAAGGACAUGUGAUUGCCUAUGCGUCUCGUCAGUUGCGGAAGCAUGAACUGAACUACCCCACUCAUGACUUGGAACUAGCAGCAGUUGUGCAUGCACUUAAGAUUUGGAGACACUACAUUAUGGGGACUAAGUGCCAAGUAUAUAUGGAUCAUAAGAGUUUGAAGUAUAUAUUCACUCAGAAGGAUCUCAACCUUAGGCAACGCCGUUGGUUGGAGCUUAUUAAGGAUUAUGAUUUGGAGAUUCACUAUCACCCGGGCAAGGCGAAUUUGGUUGCAGAUGCCUUGAGUCGCAAGGAGCAUGUUCAUUCAGCUAUUGUUGCCCAGUUACCCGAUGAGAUUGUUGAGGAUUUCAGGAGACUUAACCUAGGGAUAGUUGCUCAUACUGAAGGAGUUACAAUUGAUGUGGAACCUACUUUGGAGCAGGAGAUCCGCAAAGGACAAAUUGGUGAUGCUAAAAUAAAAGAGAUUAAAGAUCUGAUUACUGAAGGUCGAGUACCGGAAUUUACGGAAGAUGAGCAGGGCACUGUAUGGUUCAAGGAUAGAAUGUGUGUUCCUGAUAUUAAAAGCCUUCGAGAGACUAUAUUGAAAGAGGCCCAUGACUCGGAUUAUUCUAUUCAUCCUGGUAGUACCAAGAUGUAUCAGGAUUUGAAGCGGAAGUAUUGGUGGUAUGGAUUGAAAAGAGAUGUAGCUGCACAUGUGGCUAUGUGCGAUGUAUGUCAAAGAGUUAAGGCUGAACACCAGAGGCCAGCUGGACUACUGCAUCCACUGAAGAUACCCGAGUGGAAAUGGGAAGAGAUUGGUAUGGAUUUUAUUACUGGAUUGCCUCGCACCCAGAAAGGAUAUGAUGCUAUAUGGGUGAUUGUGGAUAGAUUGACUAAAGUGGCUCACUUUAUUCCUGUCAAGACUACUUAUAAAGGUUCUCAGCUAGCAGAGUUAUAUAUGGCUCGGAUUGUGUGUUUACAUGGAGUACCAAAGAAGAUCGUGUCUGAUCGAGGUUCACAGUUUACCUCAAGAUUUUGGAGAAGCUUUCAUGAGAAUAUGAGUACAAAGUUGAAUUUCAGUACAGCUUAUCACCCUCAGACUGAUGGACAGACUGAAAGGACUAAUCAAGUGUUGGAGGAUAUGUUGAGAGCAUGUGCCCUUCAGCAUGGAGGAAGUUGGGAUAAAAGUCUACCUUAUGCUGAGUUCUCUUAUAACAAUAGCCAUCAGGCCAGUCUGAAGAUGUCACCUUUUGAAGCUUUAUAUGGGAGGAAGUGCAGGACUCCUUUAUAUUGGGAUCAGACUAGAGAGAGACAGUUCUUUGGGCCUGAAUUGAUUCAAGAAGCAGAAGAACAAGUCUGUAUAAUUCGAGAGAAUUUGAGAGUGGCUCAAACCAGGCAAAAGAGCUAUGCUGAUAAUAGAAGGAAACCACUGGAAUUUGAAGAAGGAGACUAUGUGUAUCUCAAGGUGUCACCACUUCGUGGAAUGAGGAGAUUCAAAGUUAAGGGCAAAUUGUCCCCUCGCUAUAUUGGACCAUUCUUGAUCUUUAGGAGAAUUGGAGAGAUGGCAUACCAACUUGAGUUACCUGCUAGUCUAUCAGAUGUGCAUAAUGUGUUCCACGUGUCUCAACUUAAGAAGUGUCUCCGUGUUCCUGAGGAGCAGUUACCCAUGGAUGAGCUCAGUGUUCAAGGUGAUUUGACCUACACGGAGUACCCGAUCAAGAUUCUUGACACUUUGACUCGAGUUACAAGGAAUAAGGUUAUAAAGAUGCGCAAAGUCCAAUGGAGUCACCAUGGUGAAGAUGAAGCAACUUGGGAAAGAGAAGAAGAGCUUCGUAUAGAUUUUCCCCACCUUUUCCCUUAGAUCUUCUUAAUCUCGAGGACGAGAUUAUUUUUAAGGGGCGUAGGAUUUGUAACACCCACUUUGUAAUUUGCUAGAAAUAAUACCAAUAGAGAAACAAUUUCUCUUUAUGUGAGUUUGAUCUUUAUGCAUCAUCUUAUGUGAACAUCAUGCCCAAAAACAAUUAAUAAAAAGAUAUGCUACUAAAUCAUUGCAUCAUGCUGAAUAUUUUAUUUGUGUGUGCAUUUUGUGACAACAUAUAAUAAUGUGAAAAGUAUUAAAUAUCCAAAUGGGAAAUUAAAUCCUAAAAGAAAUUCUAAAAUUUGGAAAGAAAGAAAGAAAAAUACUAUGCAAUACAAAAAUAAAACUUAUAAAUAGAUAAAUUUAUUCCACAAUGAUUUAUCCAAAUUAUAUACUCAGAAAAUUUGAGUACAAAUUCAUCCCAAAUUUGAAAUUAAAACUUAGAUCCAAAAAAAUAAGAGAAAAGUGAAAUGAAAAAGGAAAAUAAAAAGGAAAACAUAACUAUCUCGAAAUGGGCCGACAACCACCCAUUCGGCCCAGCUUUCCUUUUGAUCCGCGCAGCCCAAACCUGCCUGCGCCCGGCGCCGACUUGUGGGCCCCGCUGUCAUACUCACGCCACAUCACGCGUUCCCGCGGAUCGCUGUCGUGUGGGACCCUGCCGUCAGCCGCGAAUCACGCGCGUGCGCUCCUCUGUGCCACUAACCGAUGGGCCCCCGUAGCCAGAACCGUCUCUAACCGAAGGCGUGAAGCUCGGCUGAUGCGCGGACCUCGCGCGGGCGGUUCUAACCUCCAUCCCGCUUUCCUCUCGCUCGGCGCGGACUCGCUGGUCCAUAAGGUGCGAGCGCUGGCCCCUUCCUUCCCCGUAAUCCGCUCUACACGUCAUACACCACACCGCCGCCGCGCCGUGAGAAAACUAAGCCCGCCGCCACAUCCGAACCAAGUGAUCACCGGCGUUGGGACCCCAGGAAUUAGUCUAGGAGCGUCCGUGGGCCUUUGGACGAGUGGCGUGCCGUCCGUAGGAGAGAUUGAUCGACGAGCAAGGCGCAAUUGCUCAUCGGACUUCAAAUCUCCGCCGCGGUCCGCUCUUCGUCGUGGCCAGCAUCGUCGGGCAUCGAUUACCGGUAACAAGCCCAUCCUUGUCCUCGUUAUGCAUUGCGCAUAGUGUAGCAGCGACGAAUCGGGGAUUGGGGCAUCUAUGCACCGGAACAUCGCUCGCCGGAGGCUCUCCGCCGCGGGACUCUGGUGCGCCGCCGCCGCGAUCCACUGGGGAGGGAAGAAGGCUCGAGGGCCGUUCGAUCCGUCUCGGGUGGCUGCGAUGGCGCCCAGCGUACCGUUUAGGGUGGUGUGUUCCGCGACCGUUGGAUCGUCAACACAGGGGCACGAUCGGAUCAAGCUCAUUUAAAAUCGUCACCGUUGGUAGUUGAUCCGAUGGACUAGAUUGCGUACCGGUUCGGUAUAUGUUAAAUUUAAUCCGAGCCGUUCAUUUGAGAUCGGUCGGUCUCGGUUUCAUCCCGAAUCAUUAAGUCCUAAUCUAAUCUGAGCCUUCGGUCCACGAUCGGACAGCUUAGAUCUGUCCAUACCCCUUCGCGGCUAACAUUUUACGUAUGAGCCCCUCUGGUUUUUAGGAUUAAACCCGCCGUCCAGGGACCCUGUUCCCUGUGUCUGCGGAUUCUUACCCCGAGCCCCCUGUGUUUCACAUUAAUUGAGGCCCAGUCCAGAACAUAAUAAAAUCAGAGAAAAUGAUUAUUAAAUAGAUUUUUAAUAGAAAAAUAAUUGCUAGAACUUUAUAAAUUCAUAGAAAAUUCAUACUAACUCCAAAUUGAGCCAUUCCACUUUCUAAAAUUUUGUAAUUUUAUUAUCUAUCACCUAGAGCCUCUGUUAUGUCAUGAAAACAGUAAGGAAUUUAUUUACCACUUAAUCCUAUUUAAAGCACAUAAAACCUUUGAAAAUGCAUAACUUAAAAUCUAUAACUCAGAAAAUUAUGAUUCCAGUUCCUAGGUUUUUAUUUUAAUAUGUAGAUUAUUACUGUGUAUUUUGUUUACAUGCUUGGUGUAAUGUUAAUUUUCCCUAUAUCCUGUGCUUGUUUGUGUUGUGGCGAGUAGAAGAGCCCGUUGCCGAGGAUCCUGGUGAGCAGCAGGUUGAAGUAGCUGAGCGGGAGCUCAUUGAAGGCAAGUUGUGCCCUUGACCACUUUUUACCUAAUAAUGCUCUUUAAUACCACUUAUCCAUGCAUAGGUUAAUUUUGAUGGGACCCAAUAGGUCACCCUAGAUUUGUUUAUCUCAUUACCUUGUUUACCCCUGAAUCACUGGGUAGCUUGCUAUUGCUUUACAUGGUUUUGGGAUAAUCAUUGAUUAUAUCUAUGUUCCAAUUAUUCUUGUUAUUCUGUUUAUGUUCAUGUCAAGUUCAUUAAUGUUAAUUGGAACAUAGAGCUUAACUUGAGUAACACGUGCCACCACAAGGGUUUAAUGGGACGCCCUUGGCUGAUUAAUUAGGAAAGCUAGUGGAAGACUACCCUACCCGAAAGGGGCAAGGGCAGUAGGGGAGUGGUCAGUGUAGGGAGGUCCCUGGUUGAUUUUGCUGCGAUGGCGGUCAGCCAGGAACCCUGCACUGGAACUUCCUAUAAACUGUAGCGGGUUUUCGGAAGCUAGUGGAACUUUGUAAAGGCCUCGUAGUGGAUCCCUAGCCAUUCACCUCGGUAGUGUCUAAGGGCCUUGCAAACCCUGGCGACAUGGGAUACACGACUUGUGGGUAAAGGGUACAACCUCUGCAGAGUGUAAAACUGGUAUACUAGCCGUGCUCGCGGUCAUGAGCAGCUCAGGACUCUCUGAUGUUUAAAUUAUGGAACUUAAAUUCAAUUUUGUCAAUUGCAUUGCAUGGGUUUGUUAUUAAUUUGUUCUAUUACUCUAUCUAUGGUUUGGUAUUUACUUACACUUAGUAACUGCUAAUAAAAUUUUGACCAACUACUUAAAAGCAAUGCUCAGCUUUAACCCCUGUCAAUGAUUAAGCCUUACACAUUACAUGAACUCACACCUUUGUGAGUUUAUGUCCACUGGUUCCCCACAACUUGUUGAGCUAUGAUCAUGUGUGAGCUCACCCUUGCUGUCUCACACCCCCCCACAGGAGAAGAUCAGGUGGUUCAGGAGGAGCCGCCUAGCACUGAGGAGUUCGAUCUGAUCUAGGUGGCGUUUCUCAGUCGACAUUGGCGCCGACGAUCCUUAGUUCGUUUCAUGUUUAUUACUUUAUUUUGUAAUAAGUCUUCCGCUAUGUAAUAAAUACUCUGAUGUUUUAUGACAUUUAUCUCUAUACACUCUGUUAUUAUAUAUGUUGUCUUCUUGGCGCAUGUAUGAGAUGCACCCGGCUUUGUCCUUUAAAACCGGGUGUUACAGGAUAUUCCCAAGUCGAAGGUUUGGAUUUUGGUGAAACCUAUGCACCUGUAGCUAGGCUUGAGUCCAUUCGUAUAUUAUUAGCCUAUGCUACUUACCAUGGCUUCAAGCUCUACCAAAUGGACGUGAAGAGUGCCUUCCUCAAUGGACCAAUCAAGGAAGAGGUCUAUGUUGAGCAACCUCCCGGCUUUGAAGACAGUGAGUAUCCUAACCAUGUCUAUAGACUCUCUAAGGCGCUUUAUGGGCUCAAGCAAGCCCCAAGAGCAUGGUAUGAAUGCCUAAGAGAUUUUCUUAUUGCUAAUGGAUUCGAAGUUGGAAAGGCCGAUCCUACUUUAUUCACUAAAACUCUUGCAAAUGAUUUGUUUGUAUGCCAAAACUAUUUGGGUACCUAAAAUCAAGAACUAAAUUUGUUUUGUAGGUUUAUGCAUCCGGGGGCUCAAGUUGGAUCAUCGAUAGCGGGUGCACAAACCACAUGACAGGGGAGAAAAAGAUGUUCUCCUCCUACGAGAAAAACCAAGAUCCCCAACGAGCUAUCACAUUCGGGGAUGGAAAUCAAGGUUUGGUCAAAGGAUUGGGUAAAAUUGCUAUAUCACCUGACCAUUCUAUUUCCAAUGUUUUUCUUGUAGAUUCUUUAGAUUACAACUUGCUUUCUGUUUCCCAAUUAUGUAAAAUGGGCUACAACUGUCUUUUUUACGGAUACAGGUGUUACUGUCUUUAGAAGAAGUGAUGAUUCGGUAGCUUUUAAGGGAGUAUUAGAGGGUCAGCUAUACUUAGUUGAUUUCAAUAGAGCUGAACUCGGUACUUGCUUAAUUGCUAAGACAAACAUGGGUUGGCUCUGGCAUCACCGACUAGCCCAUGUUGGGAUGAAGAAUAUUCACAAGCAUCUAAAGGGAGAGCACAUUUUGGGACUAACAAAUGUGCAUUUUGAGAAAGACAGGAUCUGUAGCGCAUGCCAAGCAGGGAAGCAAGUUGGUGUUCAUCAUCCACAUAAAAACAUCUUGACGACUGUGUCACACCCUGUUUUAGAAGGCAAACCGAAUGCGAACCAUGUACGUGCCAGGAUCAGUUAUUCACGUACACAGCAGUUACAUAAUAUGGACAUCAUCACACAGUGCUCAAAAUAGUAUUAAUAAGGGAAAUAGUCGAUUACAUCAUACGUCUGAGACGUCCAUAUAGUUCUUACAAUAAAUCAAAGUGCGGAAAAGAAACGUAGAUAACGCGGCCUUCACAGGCAGCCGACUGGGGGUUGCCGCUAACCCACACCUAGAACUCGUCGUAAUCUUGGAACUCCUGGAAGUCUCCUUCCACAGCUUCAUCUUCGCCUGAGCAGUGGUUGCAAUGCUGACAACCUGGGGGGGGGUUUGGUGUGUAGAGCAAGGGUGAGUACACAUCAACAUACUCAGCAAGUAUCCUGUUUGGCUGUAGUGGACUAGCUUUAUGUGGGGAUAAGUCAAGCAGUUGCUUUUAGUUGGUCAGAUUAUUAUUUACUAGUAGAAAGCCAAGUUUUAGCAUUAACCCAAGUUAUUAGCCCGAUGUACCCUUUCCAAACGGAAAGAAUACCACUUACCAGCACCAUAGUCAUAACCAAAACCAUCAAUCUCAUAACCACCUGUACCACAAUGUCUCUGAUCAAGUACCACUAAUCACUGGAGCUCCCUUGGCCGCUCAUAACCGCGAGCACGGCUGAUAUAUCAAUUUUCAAACACUCUGCAGAGGUUGUGCACUUUACCCACAAGCCGUGAUUCCCUCUUGCCUCGGGCCGAUCAAACCCUUAAACACUACCAAGGUGAAUAGGCAGGGUCUCACUACGUAGCCUUUACAAAGAUUCCCCGGGGCUGUAGCCACCCGUUAGGUUUCCUAAAUGCACCGCACUCCUCCCCAAGGGGCGAACCCAAACUUGGCAGAGCGAGCCGCAUACACCGAGCCCCAUUGACGGCACGACGGCUAAGUGAACUACAUCCCGGAUCCUCUAAUUAUUCAGCUAAGGGCACCCCAUUCCACCCUCAUGGUUGCACUGUUUUCCCGGGCGGUCAUCCAUAGAACAGGUCCUUACGGAGAGGCACUCGAGAAACCGCUCGAGCCCCCUUAAAGACCACAAGUAUAAUCAUAAAAAGGAACGGGAAAACAGCGUAUCAUAGAUAACCACAUCAUGUUCAUUGAUUAGAGUUUGAGCAAUAGCAUAAAGCUAAACAGUAAUAAUCCAACCCAGAUAGGUAAACAAGGACAUGGAUAACAAAAGCUAGUCAAUCCUUAGGUAUAAAGGUGUAAUGCGGGAGGUGAAUUAAAUAAUGAAUAGGACAGAGAUAGGUCAAAGGACACUUGCCUCCACCAAACGACUGCUGCUCAGGGGCUUCUCCUGCGAAUUCCUCGGGCUCUUCGACCGGAUCGUUCUCUAUGCGAUUGCAAACAUACAUACAUCCAUCCACAUUUAAUACAAAAGAACAGUACACCAUACAAGGGAACAAAUAAAGUGAGUAUGCAUCAAGUAUGACAUUCGAUAUCGCAUUUGUUAUGGUUAGAAAGAAACGGGAAAGGGUCUCGCAGGGGGUUAAAUCUUAUGCACUAACGAUCAAUUACAAUUGGUUCUUAACAAAAGAAUUCUGUUAUAUGCACUAGUGGGAACCUAAUCAUUUUAAGUUGAUCAACAUCGCACGAGAUAAACAAUUAACUACAUGAAUCAAUUAGUAUAACGGAAUUUUAAAUUAAACUUCCUAUUUCAAUGGCAUUAAUAAUGAUUAACCUACCUAAAACAAAAUAGCUAUGAUCACAGAAAGUAAAUAAAAUAAAAUAAAAAAAACAGAGGGGGGGCGGUUGAACCGGCCCUAGGGGCGGUUGAACCGGCCGGGGCAGGGCGCGCAGGGGCGGCCGAGCCGGGGCGGCUGAGCCGGCCGAGCGGCCAGGGGGGGGCGCGGCCAGGGCGCGGCCAGGCGGGCGGCCAGGCGGGCGGCCGGGCGGGCGGGACGAGCCGGGCGGGCGGCCGGACGGCCAGGGCGCGGCCAAGGCCAGGGCGCGGCCAAGGCGGCGGCCAGGGCGGGCGGCCGGGCGGGGGCGGGACGAGCCGGGCGGGCGGCCGGGCGGGACGAGCCGGCCAUGGCGGCGGCCAUGGCGCCGAGCGGCGAGGGGAAGGGGAGGGGGGAUGGGGAGGGAGGAGAGAGGGAGGAGGGGGCUCACCGGCGAGGGGCGGCCGACGGCGGGGGGGGGGACGGCCGGCAGGGAGCGGCGGCCGAGCAGGGAGCGGCGGCCGAGCAGGGGGCGGCGGCUGAGCAGGGGGCGGCGGCGGCUUAGGGCAGGGGCGGGUAGGGGCGGCGCUAGGGGAGAGAGAGGGAAAAAGAGAGAGAGGGAGAGGGAUUGGGGGUUUUGGGGAAAAAUAAAGGGAGGGGGCGGCAUGGGCCAAUUGGGCCCAAGGGGGGGGGCGCCAGGGGCGGCUGGGCCGGCCGGGGUCGGCCCACGGCACGGGAGAGAGAGAGAUAGAAGAGAGAGAGAAAGAGAGAAAAAGAAAUAAAAGAUCUUCUUCUUAUUUUCGAAAUCCGAUCUUUCUAUAUGAAUGCAUUUGCACUUUCAAAGCAAUCAAAAGAAAUGCAAGGUUCGGCAUGGUGCAUCAAACAACAUAAAGUACUUAGGGUUUUUUCUUACACGGGAAAUCCAAACCGAAUCCCGCUAGAACUUUGGAAAAGGUCAAGGUUUAGCGAGGGGAAAAAGAAAAAGAAAAGGUAACGCCCGAAUUUUGGCGAGUAAAGAAAAGAAAAAAAAUUCAACUGCAAAAUUCGGGGCGUUACAAACCUAUCCCCCUUAAAAGAAUCUCGCCCUCGAGAUUCAGGGCUGGCUAGCAAAGAGCUCUGGGUACUUGGCCACUAGAUCAUCUUCACGCUCCCAGGUUGCUUCUUCCUCAGAGUGGUGAUUCCAUCGGACUUUGCACAUUCUGAUGGUCUUCCUUCGGGUGACUCUGUCUGCAAUCUCAAGGAUCUGAGCUGGCUUCUCAACAUAGGUCAAGUCCUCCUGGACUUCCAGACCUUCCACUGGCAACUGCUCUUCUGGCACACGCAAGCACUUCUUCAACUGGGACACAUGAAAGACAUUAUGCACAGCAGACAAAUUCUCUGGCAAACUGAGCUGAUAGGCCACUUCUCCUCGUCUUGCAAGAAUCUGAUACGGACCAAUGUAGCGGGGUGCUAGCUUGCCUUUCACUCCAAAUCUUCUGACUCCUCUGAUCGGUGACACUUUCAGAUAGACAAAGUCUCCGACUUCGAAACUCAGCUCUCUUCUCCUUGUGUCUGCAUAGCUUCGCUGCCUCGAUUGCGCUAUCUUCAGAUUCUCUCGAACCAUCUUGAUGUUCUCUUCGGCUUCAAGCAAAAUGUCUGGCCCAAACACUUGCUUUUCUCCAGGCUGAUCCCAUUACAACGGAGUUCUGCAACUCCUUCCAUAGAGCGCCUGAAAUGGUGACAUCUUCAAACUGGCCUGAUAACUGUUGUUAUAGGAAAACUCUGCAUAAGGCAAACGCUUGUCCCAUCCGGACUGAUCUUGCAACGCACAGGCUCUCAACAUAUCUUCGAGAAUUUGAUUGGUCCUUUCGGUCUGGCCAUCUGUCUGCGGGUGAUAAGCUGAACUGAAAUUCAGAUGCGUGCCCAAGGCUUCAUGCAACUGCUGCCAGAAAUGAGAGGUGAACUGCGUUCCUCUGUCUGACACUAUCUUCUUUGGCACACCAUGAAGACAAACGAUCCGAGACAUAUACAAUUCUGCCAAUACUGCACUGUUGUAGCUGGUCUUGACAGGUAUGAAGUGGGCUGACUUGGUCAAGCGGUCCACUACUACCCAAAUGGAAUCGUAGCCGGCUCGAGUGCGAGGCAAUCCGACUAUGAAAUCCAUACCGAUUUCAUCCCAUUUCCACUGAGGGAUCUGCAACGGUUGCAACAAUCCAGCAGGUCUCUGGUGCUCUGCCUUAAUUCUUCGGCAACUAUCGCACAUAGCCACAUGCUCUGCGAUUUCCCUCUUCAUUCCAUACCACCAGAAUUUCCUCUUCAGAUCCUGAUACAUCUUCUCACUACCAGGGUGAAUCGAAUAAGCUGUCUCAUGAGCUUCCUUGAGAAUCAACUCCCGAAUGGACUGGACAUUGGGAACACAUAAGCGGUCUUUGAACCAUAUCACGCCUUCUGCAUCUUCUCGAAAAUCUUUGCCUUUGCCUUCUAGAAUCAAUCGCCGAAUCUCACUGAUCUUUUCAUCAUUCUUCUGCGCUUCUUUGAUUUCGCGCUCCAAGGUAGGUUCCAACUCAACCGUGACUCCUCGCGAAUUGUUCAGAAAUCCGAGACUCAACCUGUCAAACUCCUUGGCCAACUCAUAGGGCAUCGGACGAGCGACCAUCAGAUUGACUUGACUCUUCCUGCUUAAAGCAUCUGCCACUACGUUUGCUUUGCCUGGAUGGUAAUGAAUUUCCAACUCAUAGUCUUUGAUCAACUCUAACCAUCUUCGUUGCCUCAUGUUCAACUCUGACUGAGUGAAUAUGUACUUCAGACUCUUGUGAUCUGUGUAAACAUCGCAUUUCUGUCCAUACAGAUAGUGCCUCCAUGUCUUCAGUGCGUGAACCACUGCUGCCAACUCUAGAUCAUGGAUUGGGUAGUUCUUCUCAUGAACCUUCAGCUGUCGGGACGAGUAAGCCACAACUCUUCCCUCUUGCAUCAACACACAUCCCAAACCUGUGUAGCAAGCAUCGCAAUACACCGAGAAGGGCUUGUGCACAUCAGGCAAGACUAGGACAGGCGCUGUAGUCAACUUCUCUUUCAGCGCUUCAAAGGCCUCUUGGCAUUUCUGGGUCCACUUGAACUCAACUUUGUUGCCUAGCAACGCUGUCAUUGGUUUCGCAAUCUUUGAAAACCCUUCAAUGAAUCGCCGAUAAUAUCCGGCCAUUCCAAUGAAACUCUUGAUUCCUCGAGCAUCUGUUGGCGCUUUCCAGUUCAAAAUGUCUGCCACUUUCUUCGGAUCCACAGCCAAUCCUUCCUUGUUGAUUAUGUGACCCAAGAACAGGACUUCACUGAUCCAGAACUCACAUUUGCUCAACUUUGCAUACAACUGGUGCUCUCGCAAUCUCUGCAACACCAUCCUCAAAUGAUCUGCGUGCUCUUCUUCGCUUUGAGAAUAAACCAGAAUAUCAUCAAUGAAUACCACCACAAACUUAUCAAGGUAAUCCAUGAAUACACUGUUCAUCAAGUUCAUAAAGAAUGCUGGCGCAUUGGUCAAACCAAAAGACAUCACUGUGAACUCAUACAAACCAUACUUGGUAAUGAAUGCCGUCUUCGGAAUGUCCGAAGGUCGGAUCCUGAGCUGAUGAUAACCUGACCUCAGAUCGAUCUUGGAGAACACACUGGCUCCUCUCAACUGGUCGAACAGAUCUUCUAUUCUGGGCAAAGGAUACUUGUUCUUGAUCGUGACCUCAUUCAAAGCUCGAUAAUCGAUGCACAUCCUCUUAGUACCAUCUUUCUUCUCCACAAAUAGGACAGGGGCGGCCCAAGGCGAGGUGCUUGGCCAGAUGUAACCUUUCUCUGACAGCUCAUCAAUUUGCUUCUUAAGUUCAUCCAACUCUGGUCCAGAUAUUCUGUAAGCUCUCUUAGAGAUAGGGGCGGUUCCAGGAAGAAGCUCUAUGGCAAACUCAACUUUCCGCUCUAGUGGCAUACCCGGUAAGUCCUUUGGAAACACAUCCGGGAACUCAGACACAACCUUGAUACUCUCAAUUGGGUCUGCUUCACUGCUAUCGACAGCUAGCUGAUAACAACUUCCUUUCUUUGGCUCAGGCGGGACUAACUCGGUCACCACUUCCUCUCCUAGUGGGGACACCAACUUGAUUGUCCUUUUAUCACAACUGAUAACUGCCUGAUACUUAUCUAGCCAAUUCAUCCCUAGGAUGACAUCUAUUCCCUGAGUACCCAUUACUAUAAGGUUGGCGGGAAACGCUAUCCCCCUUAUUUCCACACUUAUAUUCAAACAAAUGCUAUCGGCUCGAAUUCUACCACCGGCUGAGUCAAUUUGAAUGGGGGUUGACAUGGUAGUAAUUGGAAGAUUAUGUGCUUCUACCCAUGAUGCAGUAAUAUAAGAAUGCGUUGCUCCAGUAUCAAAUAACACUUCUGCAAUAUGGGAGUCGACUGGGAACAUACCUACUAUCAUGCCGGGGGUCUCCUGAACUGCUUCAGCUUCCAAGUGGUUCAGUCUUCCAUGAUUAUAACGCGGCUGAGGGCGAUUGCCUGAUCCAGGCUGAGGCACAUUCUGCUUCGCUGGGGCAUUGGGGCCUGACUGCUGCUGGGCUGCCUUCUUCGGACAUUGCAUCACCCAGUGGCCUUGCUCUCCACAGUGGAAACAUGCCCUGUUUCCAACCUGAGCUGGUGCUGCCUGACUGUUCUGCUGAUUUGCUGGGGCAGGAAGACGGGGUGCUUGCUGAUUCUGCCUUUGAAACUGACCUCCUGACUGAUUGCUCUGACGGUUCUGGUACUGAUGCUGAGGAUACUGCCUUUGAAACUGCUGAUGCUGCUGAGGUGGACGCUGGUUCUGCCUGAACUGCUGGGGUUGAUUGCCUGAGAAACGAGGGCGGCUGCUGCUUCCAGGCUGCGGUCCACUGAUCUUGCGCUUACGAUCUUCCAUCUCCUUGCGCUUUCUCUCCGUCAUGAUCGCUCUAUCAAUCAGGUGCUGGAAUGUCGGGAAGGUGUGAUUCAUCAGCUGAUACUGUAGAGGGUCAACCAAGCCUCUCAGGAAACGGUACUGCCGCUUGGCGUCAGUGUUGACAUCUUCAGGAGCAUAGCGAGACAAUUGCAGAAACUUGUCCCGGUACUCACUGACAGACAAUGGCCCUUGCUUGAGGGCCAGGAACUCCUCCUUCUUCACUGUCAUCAGACCUGCAGGCACGUGGUACUGACGAAAGCUACCCCUGAAUUCUUCCCAGGUGAUGGUGUCGGGGUUGGCAUGGGUGGCGAGGUAAGACUCCCACCAUGACUGGGCUGCUCCUCUCAACAGACGGGGACCAUACAAGACUUUCUCCCUGUCAUCGCACUGAGCGGUAUGCAACUCCCGCUCCACAGUGCGCAGCCAAUCUUCAGCAUCCAUAGGGUCAGAAGAAUGAGCGAACGUUGGUGGAUGACCUCUCAUGAAUUCAGCACGCUUGUCUCUGGGCAUCUGAGGCAUCUGAGGCUGGGGUGGUGCUUGCUGCUGCUGCUGCUGCUGCUGAAUGGCGGCCAAAGUCUGACCGAUGGCCUGAACUGCCUGAGUCUGCAUCAUAAACAUCUGCUCAAUCGACAUCGGGGGCGGGGGUGGCAGCUGCUGCUGCUGGGGCGCCUCAUCUUGCUGACCGGCUCGCUCCUGCUGAGCACGCCUUCCUCCUCUGCGCCUGUUCUCUGACAUCUGCAGAAUGCGACCACACAUCAGAACUGAUCUGGCAAAUCUUGCAGCAUAAGAGAAGAGAAGAGAAUUCCUCAACAGCACUGAACAGGUGAGCAUCUUCACUGAUCUCCAACACAGACCACACAGCUUCUCAGAUAGAAAGGAAAGUGGAAUAAAAGGUUUCCCAACUAUAUAACUAACUUUAUUAACAUACUAGGUAAACCAAAAUGCAGGGGAUACCCACACUCUGGUAACAGUCAUUACAAAGAUCCAAACCAAACAUAGUUCAUCAUGACAAACAUAAAUGCACAGGAUAUAGCAAACUACCCUGUCUAACUAAGACUAACUAAGACCGAGACUAACGCUAAGACUGAAGCUUCUAUGUAUAUAUUUCGUAUUAGUUACAAGAUCCAACUCUAACGAUCUAUGGCUCUAGAGUUAUCUUGGUCUUGCAGGCGGGAUUGCCAUAAGACUGGUGUCCACGCUGAGGUGAGCGGUACGGGUGCUGAGUCCCAACGGGAGCGGGGGAACCACCAUCCAAAUAACGACGUUCCGCGCGGCUGCGCAGCAGGGCAAUCUCAGCACGAGCCCUACUCAGCUCAUCUAAUGCAUGGUCCAGCUCCGUGUUUAGCACGGCGGCUAGGUUGACUGUGCUGCUCAACCUAGGAUUGCCCUCACCGACAGGUGAGACAAUCACGCCUCCUGUGCUGCCAGAUGAACGGCGGGGGUAAUACUUCAGGUCAAGACCGUCAGCUGCCCCACCGAAAACCGAGCAGUAGUGCGAAAGCGCACGCCGUGCAGCAUCUUGCAUGGCUGCCUCACCUGAGUCCCGUUCAGAGAUAGAAUAAUGCUCUGAGCAGGCCUCUGCACCCUGGAGACUGUUCUCCGGACAGCGCACCAAGCAAGUUGCCUCCCAGCGAUCCGGGUAGACCCCGCGACUAUGCUGGUAGACCACACAGCGAUACUCGACGGACCAAGUAUGCCGGUCAAAUGCCCGACGUAGCAGGGUGUCGAGCGCAUCGUGGAAGUGACACCCGCGAGCAGCGUCGCGAGUGAUGGGUCGAGCAACCCAUCCUUCCGGCUCAGGGUUAGCAGAGAAGUCGGUGUCGUGGCUCGAGCUGUCGUCGCCUCCUCCGUCGUCUGGGUCUCCUCCAGCAGCUACUCCAGAAGCUGGGGCGCCCAAUGGUGAUGCAGGGGGCGGCUCCAGAGGAAGCACAGGGGAGCAGCUCCUCACAGACUCUAUCUCCUGGUGGAGCGAGAAGGAAGAGCUCUGCUGCUCCUGUCGUCGACGCUCCUGCUCCUCACGCAGGCGGUGGUGUAGUCUCUCCAAGUGGCUGGACUGUCCGGCCACGGGACGGCGAAGCGGACGCUCAGCAAGGCGGGAGGGUAAGAAGGGGAUGACUGACUUUCGUGCAGUGUGUCUAAGUCGAGCCAUCUACAAAAGACAUCGCAAGCAAAAGGGUAAUUACAGAAUUAAUAUGACCAGCAAAUAAUGAAUCAUAAGUAAAUGAAGGAUUGGAAUAAAACAUGAUUUUCAGCAAGGUAUAGUAUAUAGUAGAACAUAGGUUUGGUCGGUAGGACCAACUUUUGAAGAGAUAUCAAAGUCAAGGUAGGGACAGAGGUCUAUAGUCCUUAGAACGACCAUUCUACUCUAGGUUAGCGGUCCUACAGUCAGCACGGCUCUGAUACCACUUAUGUCACACCCGGUUUUAGAAGGCAAACCGAAUGCGAACCAUGUACGUGCCAGGAUCAGUUAUUCACGUACACAGCAGUUACAUAAUAUGGACAUCAUCACACAGUGCUCAAAAUAGUAUUAAUAAGGGAAAUAGUCGAUUACAUCAUACGUCUGAGACGUCCAUAUAGUUCUUACAAUAAAUCAAAGUGCGGAAAAGAAACGUAGAUAACGCGGCCUUCACAGGCAGCCGACUGGGGGUUGCCGCUAACCCACACCUAGAACUCGUCGUAAUCUUGGAACUCCUGGAAGUCUCCUUCCACAGCUUCAUCUUCGCCUGAGCAGUGGUUGCAAUGCUGACAACCUGGGGGGGGUUGGUGUGUAGAGCAAGGGUGAGUACACAUCAACAUACUCAGCAAGUAUCCUGUUUGGCUGUAGUGGACUAGCUUUAUGUGGGGAUAAGUCAAGCAGUUGCUUUUAGUUGGUCAGAUUAUUAUUUACUAGUAGAAAGCCAAGUUUUAGCAUUAACCCAAGUUAUUAGCCCGAUGUACCCUUUCCAAACGGAAAGAAUACCACUUACCAGCACCAUAGUCAUAACCAAAAUCAUCAAUCUCAUAACCACCUGUACCACAAUGUCUCUGAUCAAGUACCACUAAUCACUGGAGCUCCCUUGGCCGCUCAUAACCGCGAGCACGGCUGAUAUAUCAGUUUUCAAACACUCUGCAGAGGUUGUGCACUUUACCCACAAGCCGUGAUUCCCUCUUGCCUCGGGCCGAUCAAACCCUUAAACACUACCAAGGUGAAUAGGCAGGGUCUCACUACGUAGCCUUUACAAAGAUUCCCCGGGGCUGUAGCCACCCGUUAGGUUUCCUAAAUGCACCGCACUCCUCCCCAAGGGGCGAACCCAAACUUGGCAGAGCGAGCCGCAUACACCGAGCCCCAUUGACGGCACGACGGCUAAGUGAACUACAUCCCGGAUCCUCUAAUUAUUCAGCUAAGGGCACCCCAUUCCACCCUCAUGGUUGCACUGUUUUCCCGGGCGGUCAUCCAUAGAACAGGUCCUUACGGAGAGGCACUCGAGAAACCGCUCGAGCCCCCUUAAAGACCACAAGUAUAAUCAUAAAAAGGAACGGGAAAACAGCGUAUCAUAGAUAACCACAUCAUGUUCAUUGAUUAGAGUUUGAGCAAUAGCAUAAAGCUAAACAGUAAUAAUCCAACCCAGAUAGGUAAACAAGGACAUGGAUAACAAAAGCUAGUCAAUCCUUAGGUAUAAAGGUGUAAUGCGGGAGGUGAAUUAAAUAAUGAAUAGGACAGAGAUAGGUCAAAGGACACUUGCCUCCACCAAACGACUGCUGCUCAGGGGCUUCUCCUGCGAAUUCCUCGGGCUCUUCGACCGGAUCGUUCUCUAUGCGAUUGCAAACAUACAUACAUCCAUCCACAUUUAAUACAAAAGAACAGUACACCAUACAAGGGAACAAAUAAAGUGAGUAUGCAUCAAGUAUGACAUUCGAUAUCGCAUUUGUUAUGGUUAGAAAGAAACAGGAAAGGGUCUCGCAGGGGGUUAAAUCUUAUGCACUAACGAUCAAUUACAAUUGGUUCUUAACAAAAGAAUUCUGUUAUAUGCACUAGUGGGAACCUAAUCAUUUUAAGUUGAUCAACAUCGCACGAGAUAAACAAUUAACUACAUGAAUCAAUUAGUAUAACGGAAUUUUAAAUUAAACUUCCUAUUUCAAUGGCAUUAAUAAUGAUUAACCUACCUAAAACAAAAUAGCUAUGAUCACAGAAAGUAAAUAAAAUAAAAUAAAAAAAAACAGAGGGGGGGGGCGGUUGAACCGGCCCUAGGGGCGGUUGAACCGGCCGGGGCAGGGCGCGCAGGGGCGGCCGAGCCGGGGCGGCUGAGCCGGCCGAGCGGCCAGGGGGGCGCGGCCAGGGCGCGGCCAGGCGGGCGGCCAGGCGGGCGGCCGGGCGGGUGGGACGAGCCGGGCGGGUGGCCGGACGGCCAGGGCGCGGCCAAGGCCAGGGCGCGGCCAAGGCGGCGGCCAGGGCGGGCGGCCGGGCGGGGGCGGGACGAGCCGGGCGGGCGGCCGGGCGGGACGAGCCGGCCAUGGCGGCGGCCAUGGCGCCGAGCGGAGAGGGGAAGGGGAGGGGGGAUGGGGGAGGGAGGAGAGAGGGAGGAGGGGGCUCACCGGCGAGGGGCGGCCGACGGCGGGGGGGGGGGGGGGCCGGCAGGGAGCGGCGGCCGAGCAGGGGGCGGCGGCCGAGCAGGGGGCGGCGGCGGCUUAGGGCAGGGGCGGGUAGGGGCGGCGCUAGGGGAGAGAGAGGGAAAAAGAGAGAGAGGGAGAGGGAUUGGGGGGUUUUGGGGAAAAAUAAAGGGAGGGGGGCGGCAUGGGCCAAUUGGGCCCAAGGGGGGGGCGCCAGGGGCGGCUGGGCCGGCCGGGGUCGGCCCACGGCGCGGGAGAGAGAGAGAUAGAAGAGAGAGAGAAAGAGAGAAAAAGAAAUAAAAGAUCUUCUUCUUAUUUUCGAAAUCCGAUCUUUCUAUAUGAAUGCAUUUGCACUUUCAAAGCAAUCAAAAGAAAUGCAAGGUUCGGCAUGGUGCAUCAAACAACAUAAAGUACUUAGGGUUUUUUCUUACACGGGAAAUCCAAACCGAAUCCCGCUAGAACUUUGGAAAAGGUCAAGGUUUAGCGAGGGGAAAAAGAAAAAGAAAAGGUAACGCCCGAAUUUUGGCGAGUAAAGAAAAGAAAAAAAAUUCAACUGCAAAAUUCGGGGCGUUACAGACUGACAGGCCACUCGAGCUCCUCCACAUGGACCUAUUCGGCUCGAUCGCUUACAUAAGCAUCGGCGGGAGUAAGUACUGUCUAGUUAUUGUGGAUGACUAUUCUCACUUCACUUGGGUAUUCUUUUUACAGGAAAAAUCUCAAACCCAAGAGACCUUAAAGGGAUUCUUGAGAUGAGAUCAAAAUGAGUUCGGCUUAAGGAUCAAGAAAAUUAGAAGCGAUAAUGGGACGGAGUUCAAGAAUUCACAAAUUGAAGGCUUCCUUGAGGAGGAGGGCAUCAAGCAUGAGUUCUCUUCUCCCUACACGCCACAACAAAAUAGUGUAGUGGAGAGGAAGAAUAGAACUCUAUUGGACAUGGCAAGAACCAUGUUUGAUGAAUACAAGACUUCAGAUCGGUUUUGGGCCGAGGCGGUCAACACCGCUUGCUACGCCAUCAACCGGUUGUAUCUACACCGAAUCCUCAAGAAGACAUCUUACGAACUCCUCACUGGUAAAAAGCCAAAUGUUUCAUAUUUUAGAGUCUUUGGUAGCAAAUAUUUUAUUCUUGUUAAAAGAGGUAGAAAGUCCAAAUUUGCUCCUAAGGUUGUAGAAGGCUUUUUACUAGGAUAUGAUUCAAACACAAGGGCAUAUAGAGUCUUUAACAAGUCCACUGGACUAGUUGAAGUUUCUUGUGACAUUGUGUUUGAUGAGACUAACGGCUCUCAAGUAGAGCAAGUUGAUCUUGAUGAAUUAGAUGAUGAAGAGGCUCCGUGCGUCGCGCUAAGGAACAUGUCCAUUGGGGAUGUGUGUCCUAAGGAAUCCGAAGAGCCCAUUCAAGCACAAGAUCAACCAUCCUCCUCCAUGCAAGCAUCUCCACCAACUCAAGAUGAGGAUGAGGCUCAAGAUGAUGAAAAAGAAGAUCAAGAAGAUGAGCCGUCUCAAGAGGAGGGCAAUGAUCAAGGGGGAGAUGCAAAUGAUCAAGACAAGGAGGACGAGCAAGUUCCAAGGCCGCCACACCCAAUAGUCCACCAAGCAAUCCAACGAGAUCACCCCGUGAACACCAUCCUCGGCGACAUCCAUAAGGGGGUAACCACUAGAUCUCGUGUUGCACAUUUUUGUGAGCACUACUCUUUUGUUUCCUCUAUUGAGCCACACAGGGUAGAGGAAGCACUUCAAGAUUCGGAUUGGGAGAUGGCGAUGCAAGAGGAGCUCAACAACUUCACGAGGAAUGAGGUAUGGCAUUUAGUUCCACGUCCUAACCAAAAUGUUGUAGGAACCAAGUGGGUCUUCCGCAACAAGCAAGAUGAGCAUGGUGUGGUGACAAGGAACAAAGCCCGACUUGUGGCCAAGGGAUAUUCACAAGUCGAAGGUUUGGAUUUCGGUGAAACCUAUGCACCCGUAGCUAGGCUUGAAUCAAUUCGUAUAUUACUUGCCUAUGCUACUUACCAUGGCUUCAAGCUUUAUCAAAUGGACGUGAAAAGUACCUUCCUUAAUGGACCAAUUAAGGAAGAGGUCUAUGUUGAGCAACCUCCCGGCUUUGAAGACAGUGAGUAUCCUAACCAUGUUUAUAGACUCUCUAAGGCGCUUUAUGGGCUCAAGCAAGCCCCAAGAGCAUGGUAUGAAUGCCUAAGAGAUUUUCUUAUUGCUAAUGGAUUCAAAGUCGGAAAAGCCGAUCAUACUCUCUUUACUAAAACACUUGCAAAUGAUUUGUUCGUAUGCCAAAUUUAUGUUGAUGAUAUCAUAUUUAGGUCUACUAACGAAUCUACUUGUGAAGAGUUUAGUAGGAUCAUGACACAAAAAUUCGAGAUGUCUAUGAUGGGGGAGUUGAAGUAUUUCUUAGGAUUUCAAGUGAAGCAACUCCAAGAGGGCACCUUCAUUAGCCAAACGAAGUACAUUCAAGACAUUCUAACCAAGUUUGGGAUGAAGGACACCAAGCCCAUCAAGACACCCAUGGGAACUAAUGGGCAUCUCGACCUCGACACGGGAGGUAAAUCCAUAGAUUAAAAGGUAUUACCGGUCGAUGAUAGGUUCCUUACUCUAUUUAUGUGUUUCACGACCGGAUAUUAUGCUUUCCGAAUGCAUGUGUGCAAGAUUCCAAGCCGAUCCUAAGGAAACUCACCUUAGGGCCGUAAAACGAAUCUUGAGAUAUUUAGUUUAUACUCCUAAGUUUGGCCUUUGGUACCCCAGGGGAUCCACAUUUGAUUUAAUUGGUUAUUCUGAUGCCGAUUAGGCAGGGUGUAAAAUUAAUAGAAAGAGCACAUCAGGGACUUGCCAGUUCUUGGGAAGAUCUCUGGUAUCUUGGGCUUCAAAGAAGCAAAAUUUUGUGGCUCUUUCAACCGCCGAAGCCGAGUAUAUUGCCGCAGGCCAUUGUUGCGCGCAAUUGCUUUGGAUGAGGCAAACCCUUAGGGACUAUGGUUACAAAUUAACCAAAGUUCCUCUUCUAUGUGAUAAUGAGAGUGCAAUCCGCAUGGCGGAUAAUCCCGUUGAGCAUAGCCGCACUAAACACAUAGCCAUUCGGUAUCAUUUUCUAAGGGAUCACCAACAAAAGGGGAAUAUCGAGAUUGCAUAUGUUAGCACCAAAGAACAAUUAGCCGAUAUCUUUACCAAGCCAUUGGAUGAACAAACUUUUACCAAACUUAGGCAUGAGCUAAAUAUUCUUGAUUCUAGGAAUUUUGAAUGAUAUUUUGCACACAUAGCUCAUAUAUAUACCUUUGAUCAUAUAUAUGACUAAUGUGUUCUUUCAAGUCCAUUUCAUGCUAAGUCAUAGAUUGAAAGGGAAAAGGAGUCUUCGGCGAAGACAAGGCUUCCACUCCGCUCCAUCGAAUCAUUCAUCCUUCGCCGUCGCUCCGCACUAACUCUCCAACUUUAGUAUAAUCUUCACUCCUUUACUUCCGUCCAAAGGGGGAGAGAGUAGUUUAAAAGGGCUUAUAUUUCACUCAAGCAUCCAUUUUUGGCGAUUCAUGCCAAAGGGGGAGAGAGUAUUAGCCCAAAGCAAAAGGACCGCACCACCACCAAUUUCAAAAAUGUAGUCUUUUAAUUGGUAUUUAAAAGAAGUUUUUCAAUUGGCAUCUUAUUUUGAUAUAAUUUUAACUUGGUAUACCCUUUUCAAAAUUAAUAUCUAAAACUCUCUUGAACACUAAGAGGAGGAUUUCAUUAAGGGGGAGUUUUGUUUAGUCAAAGGAAAAGCAUUUGAACCAGGGGGAAAAGAUUUCAAAACUUGAAAAUGCUUCUCAAAAUCUUAUUCAUUUAACUUUGACCAUUUGCAAAAGAACUUUGAAAAGAAUUUCCAAAACAUUUUGCAAAACAAAACAUGUGGUGCAAUCGUGGUCCAAAAUGUUAAUAAAAAGAAAAGCCAUCCAUGCGCAUCUAGUAAGUAAUAUUUAUUGGUUUCAUUCCAAGCAACCUUUGCACUUACAUUAUGCAAAUUGGUUCAAUUCUGCACUUUCAUAUUUGCUUUGGUUUGUGUUGGCAUCAAUCACCAAAAAGGGGGAGAUUGAAAGGGAAAUAGGCUUACACCUUUUCCUAAUUGAUUUUGGUGGUUGAAUUGCCCAACACAAAUAAUUGGACUAACUAGUUUGCUCUAAAUUAUAAGUUUUACAGGUGCCAAAGGUUCACAAUUGACCAAUAAAAUGACCAAGAAAUGGUUCAAACAAAGAGAGCAAAAGACAACCGAAGCGUGCCCUGGUCUGGCGCACCGGACUGUCCGGUGUGCCACCGGACAGUGUCCGGUGUGCCAGGGAACUCAGCUCCAAACUCGUCACCUUCGGGAAAAUCAGAGGGCGCUCCACUAUAAUUCACCGGACUGUCCGGUGGCGCCCCGGACUGUCCGGUGUGCCAGCGGAGCAACGGCUACUUCAGCGCCAACGGUCGACUGCAACCGCAUUCAAUGCGCUACAGUGCGCGCCAGAGUCAGAGCAGCGUCAGAAGGCGCACCGGACGGUCUAUAGUACUUGUCCGGUGCACCACCGGACGGCCAGAAUGUAACACCCACUUUGUAAUUUGCUAGAAAUAAUACCAAUAGAGAAACAAUUUCUCUUUAUGUGAGUUUGAUCUUUAUGCAUCAUCAUAUGUGAACACCAUGCCCAAAAAAACAAUUAAUAAAAUUAUAUACUACCAAAUUAUGCAUCAUGCUCGAUUUUAUUCUGUGUGCAUUUUGUGACAAGAAAAUAUUAAAGACCAAAAAGGGAAUUUAAAACUUAAAAGAGAUUCAAAAAUUUAGGAAAGAGAAACAAACAAAUAUCAUGUGAAAUAAAGAUAUAAAUAGUAUGUAUAAGUAUAUAUGCCCAAGCUAGAGCUUGUCAUGACAUAACAUAAUCUGAGGAUAAAAUUUGUCACAAAACAUUUGAAUUUGGAGCUAAUUUGAAUGGGAAAUGAAAGGAAAAUAAAAAUCUGAAAAGGAAAACAUAAACUGCAGCGCCUGGGCCCAGAAUUCUUCAUUUCGGCCCAGUAACUAAAAUGCACUGCGCGGCCCACGUCGAUCUAUCCAUCGCACGCACGCCCUGACUGGUGGGACCCGCGGGUCGGCCAGUUCUCCGCACCACGCCUCUGUCGUGCGGGCCCGAUCGGUCAGGCAACCGGACACCGCGCGCGCUGGGUGAACUCUCUGGUCCGCGGGACCCGCUAUUAGCCGCUCCAUCCCUUCGCUCUGCUCGUGCGUGCCUCGCCGACUUGUGGGCCCAAGCUGUCGGGCUCGUCCCCUCUACCGAAACCGCGCGCAACCACCGUCGCGAUUUCCUCGGCGUUGGCCGAGCUGGUUCAACGGCCUCCCUGCUCACUCGGACGUCCUUUGCCGCACAUAAGAACGCCGCUCGGAGCCCAUGGAGAAAAGCCCUAGUCUAGAGGUUGGUCGCCGCCGUAGUGAGAAAGAAGAGGGAAGUCCUUCGCGAGCCCUACGACCGUUCUCCCUCCCUAGUCACCGACGACCAAUUGCCAGCGUGGGUGAGUGCAGCUGGGUGUUGCGGACGUGUUCGCGGGAGCGGAAGGAAGAAGGGACCCAUAGAGGACUCGAGAUUGCUCGCCGGAGUCUCUGCGCAGCCGCGGAUCCGCUCUCCUCCGUGGGCGAGCUCGCAACCUCCUCGAUAGCCGGUGAGAACUUCUCUUAUAGCUCCGCCAUGGGCUAGUAAUGUUGUAGCUCGGGUUCGAUUUGUGAAUGGGGGCGUGGAUGGCGGAAUCGACUAGCGCCGGCAAUGGCGCCGCCGCGGGUAAAUCCUGUGCGUCGCCGCGCCUCGGGAUGGAUUGGGGCGAACGGUUGGGCACCGUCCGAUCCACAGCAACGGCUCAGAUUAGAGUAUAGGUUACUGAUUGGAUGGGAGUGCUGAGGAUCGUCUGAUCGAGAUCUCGCAGCCUAGAAUAGAUCGUGCAACAUUAGAUAACCGCCGUCGAUCUCGAAUCCGAUGGGCAGCGUUACAUACCGAUUCGGCCUGGGAUACAUCUAAUCCUAGCGGUCGAUAGGAGAUCGGGCGGCCAGAAAUAGAGAAUACCCCUUCGGGCGCCAUUCUUUCUAAAGAGACCCUGGGGAUUUCUGGAAUCAACCCGCCGUCCAGGGACCCUGUUCCUUGAGUCUUAGGUUUAAUUGCGCCAUAGCCCCUGCACUUUGCAGUAUUUGAUGCGAAGUCCAGAGACACAGGAAAUUCAAUAAUUAAAUAUAGAAAUUGAUUUUAAGGCUUAAAUAAUUGCUAGAACUUUGAUAAUUCAUAGAAAAUUCAUAUGAGCUCCAAAUUACUCCAUUCCAGUUCCUAAAUUUUUAUACUUUUAUUCUCUAUCACUUAGAGUCUCUGUUUUGUCAUGAAAACAAUAAGAAAUUUAAUCUCUCACUUAAUCCUAUUCUAAACACAUAAAACAUUUGAAAAUCCAUAACUUAAAAUCUAUAACUCCAAAAAUUAUGAUUCAUGUUCCUAGAAUUUUAUUUUAAUGUGUAGAUUAUUACUGUGUAUUUUGUUUAUAUGUUUGGUGUAAUGUUAAUUUCUCUAUAUGCGCUGUGCUUGUUUGUAUUGUGGCGAGUAGAAGAGCCCGUGACCGAGGAUCCUGGUGAGCAGCAGAUAGAAGUAGCUGAGCAGGAGCUCAUUGAAGGCAAGUUGUGCCCUUGACCACUUUUUACCCAAUAAUGUUCUUUAAUAUCACUUAUCCAUGCAUAGGUUAAUUUUGAUGGGACCCAAUAGGUCACCCUAGAUUGUUUAUCUCAUUACCUUGUUUACCCCUGAAUCACUUGGGUAGUUUGCUAUUGCUUUAUAUGGUUUUGGGAUAAUCAUUUAUUACCUCUAUGUUCCAAUUCUUUUUGUUAUUCUAUUUAUGUUCAUGUUGAGAUCAUUAAUGUUAAUUGGAACAUAGAGCUUAACUUGAGUAACACGUGCCACCACAAGGGUUUAAUGGGACGCCCUUGGCUGACUAAUUAGGAAAGCUAGUGGGAGACUACCUUACCCGAAAGGGGCAAGGGCAGUAGGGGAGUUGCAUGCAAGGAGGUUCUCGGGUUGAUUUUGCUGCGAUGGCGGUCAGACGGGGGAUUCUUGCAAGUGCUCUUCCCAUAAACUGUAGCGAGUUUUCGGAAGCUAGUGGAACUUUGUAAAUGCCUCGUAGUGUUGCCCUGCCGCGCUUCCUAGGUAGAGGUGUAUGGGAUUCGCGACCCCUUGGCAGAUGGGUAACAUGACUUGUGGGUAAAGGGUACAACCUCUGCAGAGUGUAAAACUGGUAUACUAGCCGAGCUCACGGUCAUGAGCGGCUCAGGACUCUCUGAUGUUUAAAUUAUGGAACUUAAAUUUAAUUUGUCAUUCGCAUAUGCAUGGGUUAUUAUUAAUUUUGUUCUAUUACUUUGCUUAUGGUUUGGUAUUUACUUAUACUUAGUAACCGCUAAUAAAAUUUUGACCAACUACUUAAAAGCAAUGCUCAGCUUUAACCCCUAUCAUUGAUUAGCCUUACACAUAACAUGAACUCACACCUUUGUGAGUUUAUGUCCACUGGUUCCCCACAACUUGUUGAGCUAUGAUCAUGUGUGAGCUCACCCUUGCUGUCUCACACCCCCCACACAGGAGAAGAGCAGGUGGUUCAGGAGGAGCCACAAGGCGAGGAGUAUGAUCUGAUCUAGGUGGCGUUUCUCAGUUGACAUUGGCGUCGACGAUCCUUAGUUCGUUUUAUGGUUAUUCCUUUAUUUUGUAAUAAGACUUCCACUAUGUAAUAAGUACUCUAAUGUUUUAUGACAUUUAUCUCUAUACACUCUGUUACUAUAUAUGUUGUCUUCUUGGCGCAUGUAUGAGAUGCACCUGGCUUUGUUCCUUAAAGCCGGGUGUGACAGAAGUGGUAUCAAAGGAAAUGUUGACUGUAGGACGAGACCUAGAUAGAAACGGACAAAACCCUUACCUACUUACCUUACUCUGAAUCAUUCUAUACUUAUCUCAUCUUGAUCUUGUCUCACCUUUUGCUAUUCUACUCUGAUUAAUCUUAUCUUUUCUACUCUAAGACAAGAUGGAUUUCACACCUUGGAAUCUUACCACUAUGAUCUUUUUAAGAGAUAGGGAACCCAAGACAAAAUUUAAAACUAUUCUUUUUAAAAAUGUUGUUUGAUUGUUCUGAUGUUAAAUGUCUGAUUUGCUUCUUUGAUUGAUUGAUAUAUUAUAUGUGGACAUCUUAGCAUGUACCACCAUAAGGUAUUGAAUUAGCUAUGGUAGGUAAAAUAUUAAUCUGCUUAGCUAAUAAAAUUCCCCAAAGUAACCUGAUUUGUAAAUAUCUGCCUUGUCUACUAUUUUCUUACCAUAUGUAUCUAACUCAGAUGGUCAAUACCAGGCGGGGUGGUGGAAUUGAUUUGCCUCCUAAUCGACACACUCGGUGGAUAUAUAGACAACCCCAGCCACAACCUGCAGAGAUGAAUCCUCCUAAUCCUCCACCAGGCGGAGUUGACCCACUGGUUGCUGCUCAGAUGAAUAUGAUGCAGCAAAUGGCGGACACCAUGGCAGAUAUGCGUGCACAGAUGCAGCAAGAACGCCGGGAGAUGCGCCAAGAAAGAGAAGAGAUACGACAGGAGUUGCACCAGGAACGAGAGGAGAUACGCCAGGAAAGGAGGGCGCAACAACAACAGCUGCAACAGCAAAUGCAACAACAACAGCAGCAGCAGCAGCAACAGCAACAAGUACCACUGCCUCCUCCACCACCACCAGUUCCACCACGUGAUAAGCAUAGGGAGUUCAUGAGUCAUAAGCCACCUACAUUCGCUAGCUCACCUGAUCCACUGGACGCGGAUGAUUGGCUGAAGUCUGUUGAGAAGAUGUUGAAUAUUGCACAGUGCACUGAUCGGGAGAAGGUUUUAUAUGCUUCUGGACGACUGGCAGGUCCUGCUGCUGACUGGUGGGAUUCAUAUACUGCUGCCCAUGAUGCUGCGGAUACUAUUACUUGAGCAGAGUUCAGUACACAGAUCAGGAAUUAUCAUAUACCAGCUGGAUUGAUGAAGAUUAAGAAGAAGGAAUUUCUAUCGCUGAAGCAAGGAAGCAUGACAGUCAGCGAGUACCGCGACAAGUUUAUCCAGUUAUCCAGAUAUGCCCCUGAUGAAGUUGCUGAAGAUGAGAGGAAGCAGGAGCAUUUUAUUGAAGGACUUAAUGGACCCCUGCAGUAUGCUCUAGUGGCACACACAUUUCCAUCAUUUCAGAGGCUGCUUGAUAAGGCCCUGGCUAUUGAACACAAGCGUGUUCAGCUGGGAGAUUUGAAGAGAAAGGCUAUAUCUCAAGGACAAGGAAGCAGCAGUGUUCGUCCUCGCUACAGUUCACCUCAUGAUACACCAGUUCGCACUGGCGGAGGCCAGCACCCAGUUCAGCAAUCACCAGUGAGGACUCCACCUCCUCGACAGGCUACCCCUACUGGCACCCCGACGAAGUUUUCAGGACAGAGUCCAGGCACUACUUGUUUCAAGUGUGGGAAGACUGGUCAUUAUGCAAAUGUCUGCCCAUAGAGGAUUGCUACUACUCCAGUUCAGAACAGGCAGCAAACUCCAGGAUCUGGCAAGGGAUAUUCUAUUGCCAAGGUUAAUCAAGUCAGCGUUGAUGCUACUCCGGAUGGUGGGGACAUCGUACUUGGUAUGUUUUAUGUUAAUGCAAUUCCUGCGACCAUAUUAUUUGAUUCUGGUGCUACACAUUCAUUCAUGUCUGCUAGAUAUGCCAACACAAAUGAAAUACCACUGCUAAAUAUGAGAAAACCCAUGAUAGUAAUUACACCUAAAGGGCCUGUUGAGGCGAAUCAAAUGACACGUAGAUUGACAUUGACCAUUACGGGUAGAGAAUUUGGAGCUACUGCUAUAAUAUUAGAGUCAAGCAGUAUAGAUUUGAUCCUUGGUAUGUCAUGGCUAAGAAAGGUAAAGGUCGUUAUAGCAUGUGGUAGAGGUACCGUAGAACUAACUACCACUAAAGGAGAAAGAUUUCAAGUUAAUAUUGCAGUAACCUCCUCAUCCAUGCGUGCAAUGUUCUUUAUACCUGAGGAGUUUGUUGGUGACAACAUCCAGGUGGUUAGAGAUUUUCCGGAUGUCUUUCCAGAGGAGUUACCAGGGAUGCCACCUGAUAGAGAAGUUGAGUUUGUUAUUGAUCUCUUACCUGGAACCGCCCCUAUUUCUAAACAGCCAUAUAGGAUGUGCGUAGAGGAGUUGAAGGAACUUAAGAAGCAGUUAACUGAGUUACAAGAGGCUGGAAAUUCGUCUGAGUUCCUCACCUUGGGGAGCGCCGGUUCUGUUUGUACAGAAGAAGGAUGGAUCACAGCGGAUGUGUGUGGAUUAUAGAUCCCUUAAUGAUGUUACUGUGAAGAACAAGUAUCCGUUGCCCCGUAUUGAGGAUUUAUUUGAUCAGAUGAGAGGUGCUAGAGUAUUCUCGAAGAUUGAUCUCCGGUCGGGUUACCAUCAGAUGAGGAUUAGACCAUCGGAUAUUCCCAAGACGGCUUUCUCGACUCGAUAUGGACUAUAUGAGUUUACCGUUAUGUCGUUUGGAUUAACCAAUGCACCAGAUUAUUUUAUGAAUUUGAUGAACAAGGUGUUUAUGGAGUAUUUGGAUAGAUUCGUCGUGGUGUUCAUCGACGACAUUCUUAUCUAUUCCAAGAGUGAUAGCGAUCACGAGGGACAUCUGAGGUUGGUGCUACAGAAGCUACGAGAUAACUAGCUAUAUGCCAAGUUCAGCAAGUGCGAGUUUUGGAUUGGCGAGGUGCCAUUUCUUGGUCAUAUUAUUUCUAAUGGAGGAAUAUCAGUGGAUCCUGCUAAGGUUAAGGAGAUAAUGGAGUGGAGAGUACCCACUACAGUUACUGAGAUUCAGAGUUUCUUGGGAUUAGUAGGCUACUAUCGGAGAUUUAUUGAAGGAUUUUCUAAGAUUGCCAAACCUAUGACUUCGCUUUUGGAGAAAGGAAAAGAAUUUAAGUGGGACGAGAAGUGUCAAGACAGCUUUGAUCUAUUGAAGAAGAGGUUGAUGUCGCCACCAGUAUUGGUUAUGCUAGACCUACAGAAAGGAUUUGAUAUUUAUUGUGAUGCAUGUGGCCAAGGCUUAGGAUGUGUGCUCAUGCAAGAAGGAC
rnacentral:lncRNA from 1 species